AUGGGCUCAGAACUCCAUGAGUGGGAUAUCUUAAAAGAGCUGUUCUCUUUUUAUUCAUGCUGUGAUCUGCCCCAAAUCCAAACCAACAAAUCAAGUCGGCAAUUUAACAGAAGUGACACUGACGGAAUUUCUACAAGCAGUGUCCUUGGAAUUCAGGCACAGCUGAAGAAGCAUUUCUGGACUAGCCAUGCUAUGUGGGAGAUACACACACCAGUAACAAAUUCUGAAGAGGAAAAGAUACAGAGCAAGUUGUCUCCAGGCCAUACCGCCGUUUAUGGUGAAGUCUUAAAAAAGAUGUACUUUGCUUCAGACCUUGGACCAAAUAUUCAGUGCUACGUGAAAAGAAAGGCAUUCCCAGAGAGAGCUGUUCCCUUUCCAUACCUGGGAUUUUUUCCUAGGAAGGGAAUGAUUUCUGACAGUUACAAUUCUGCAAGAAUAUCAGGAAAAGAUCACAAGGAAAACCAUUAUAGAGGAAAUGAGCAGUUCUGA
ensembl:lncRNA